rnacentral:rRNA from 1 species
UGCAGACGGACUGACUAGUCAUAGUGCAGGGCUCCUAUCUGCAUAAAACUGGGAGUGAAUGGUCAGCCUCCUCCCUAAGGGGAGACUAAUGACGGUAUCUGAGGAAUAGGUCUCGGCUAACUACGUGCCAGCAGCCGCGGUAAUACGUAGGAGGCGAGCGUUAUCCGGAUUUAUUGGGCGUAAAGUGGGCGUAGGUGGUCUUUCAAGUCAGAUGUGAAAUCUCCCGGCUCAACUGGGAGGGGUCAUCUGAUACUGUUGGACUUGAGUGCAGCAGGGGAAAAUGGAAUUCCCGGUGUAGUGGUGAAAUGCGUAGAUAUCGGGAGGAACACCAGAGGCGAAGGCGAUUUUCCAGGCUGAAACUGACACUGAGGCCCGAAAGCGUGGGGAGCGAACAGGAUUAGAUACCCUGGUAGUCCACGCCCUAAACUAUGGGUACUAGGUAUAGGGAGUAUCGACCCUUUCUGUGCCGAAGCUAACGCUUUAAGUACCCCGCCUGGGGAGUACGGUCGCAAGACUAAAACUCAAA